GCCAGGUUGGCUGAGCGGUUAAAGCGCUAGCCUCGAAAGCUAGUGGAGCUUUGCUCCUCGCAGGUUCGAAUCCUGCACCUGGCG
rnacentral:tRNA from 1 species